rnacentral:rRNA from 1 species
GAUGAACGUUGGCGGCGUGCUUAACACAUGCAAGUCGAACGGAGUGGUGAACGGGAUAGUCACACGCGGGUGAUCUGCACGGCACUUCGGGAUAAGGGCGGGAAACUGGGUUGAAUACUGGAUAGUGGGGAGUGGGCUCGCGCCCUAUCAGCUUGUGGGUGGGGUAAUGGCCUACCAAUGCGGCGACGGGUAGCCGGCCUGAGAGGGUGGACGGCCACGUAGGGACUGGGAAGCGGCCCAGGGUCAUAAGGGAGGCAGCGGUGGAGAAUAGUGCAGAGUGGGGAGAAGCGUGGUGCCACGACACGGCGUGGGGGAUGACUGCAUUCGCGUGGUGAACUCCUUUCACCAUCGACGCGGUAGAUGGAGGAGAAGCCCCGGCUAACUCCCUGCCAGCAGCCGCGGUAAUAC